rnacentral:rRNA from 1 species
CUAAUACAUGCAAGUCGAACGCUUCUUUCCUCCCGAGUGCUUGCACUCAAUUGGAAAGAGGAGUGGCGGACGGGUGAGUAACACGUGGGUAACCUACCCAUCAGAGGGGGAUAACACUUGGAAACAGGUGCUAAUACCGCAUAACAGUUUAUGCCGCAUGGCAUAAGAGUGAAAGGCGCUUUCGGGUGUCGCUGAUGGAUGGACCCGCGGUGCAUUAGCUAGUUGGUGAGGUAACGGCUCACCAAGGCCACGAUGCAUAGCCGACCUGAGAGGGUGAUCGGCCACACUGGGACUGAGACACGGCCCAGACUCCUACGGGAGGCAGCAGUAGGGAAUCUUCGGCAAUGGACGAAAGUCUGACCGAGCAACGCCGCGUGAGUGAAGAAGGUUUUCGGAUCGUAAAACUCUGUUGUUAGAGAAGAACAAGGACGUUAGUAACUGAACGUCCCCUGACGGUAUCUAACCAGAAAGCCACGGCUAACU